rnacentral:rRNA from 1 species
CCCUGCUCAGAUUGAACGCUGGCGGCAGGCCUAACACAUGCAAGUCGAGCGGUAGAGAGAAGCUUGCUUCUCUUGAGAGCGGCGGACGGGUGAGUAAUGCCUAGGAAUCUGCCUGGUAGUGGGGGAUAACGUUCGGAAACGGACGCUAAUACCGCAUACGUCCUACGGGAGAAAGCAGGGGACCUUCGGGCCUUGCGCUAUCAGAUGAGCCUAGGUCGGAUUAGCUAGUUGGUGAGGUAAUGGCUCACCAAGGCGACGAUCCGUAACUGGUCUGAGAGGAUGAUCAGUCACACUGGAACUGAGACACGGUCCAGACUCCUACGGGAGGCAGCAGUGGGGAAUAUUGGACAAUGGGCGAAAGCCUGAUCCAGCCAUGCCGCGUGUGUGAAGAAGGUCUUCGGAUUGUAAAGCACUUUAAGUUGGGAGGAAGGGCAGUUACCUAAUACGUGAUUGUUUUGACGUUACCGACAGAAUAAGCACCGGCUAACU